rnacentral:lncRNA from 1 species
UUAAAUAUAAAAAUAUUUAAACAUAAUUUUUUUUAUAAGCUUAAGUUUUUAAAGAAUAAUGAUUGUUUUGUAUCAUGUAUCACUUUACAUGGUAUCAGAGUAAGAGAUUCUGAGUUCGAAUCACAUUAGGCUCUUUUCAUUAUUAAUUUUCUUUCAUUUAAUUCAAGUCUAUGUCAUAAAUCUAGUAGAAAGUUUCGAGCCCAAACGUGAGGAAAGUGUUCAAUAUAAAAACAUUUAAAUACCGUUCUCUAUAAGCUUAAAAUUUUAGAGAAUGUCUAGACGUUAACGAAAGUGUUAAAUAUAAAAACAUUUAAACACCGUUCUUUAAUAAAAUAUUAAGAUUUUAGAGAAUAACGGUUGUUCCUUGUGAUUUAAUAGGGAGGGGUGUUUAAUUGUGAUAAGAAUGGUGC